AAGUCGUAACAAGGUUUCCGUAGGUGAACCUGCGGAAGGAUCAUUAAUGAAUUCACUAUGGAGUUGUUGCUGGCCUCUAGGGGCAUGUGCACGCUUCACUAGUCUUUCAACCACCUGUGAACUUUUGAUAGAUCUGUGAAGUCGUCUCUCAAGUCGUCAGACUUGGUUGCUGGGAUUUAAACGUCUCGGUGUGACUACGCAGUCUAUUUACUUACACACCCCAAAUGUAUGUCUACGAAUGUCAUUUAAUGGGCCUUGUGCCUAUAAACCAUAAUACAACUUUCAACAACGGAUCUCUUGGCUCUCGCAUCGAUGAAGAACGCAGCGAAAUGCGAUAAGUAAUGUGAAUUGCAGAAUUCAGUGAAUCAUCGAAUCUUUGAACGCACCUUGCGCCCCUUGGUAUUCCGAGGGGCAUGCCUGUUUGAGUGUCAUUAAAUUCUCAAACUCACUUUGGUUUCUUUCCAAUUGUGAUGUUUGGAUUGUUGGGGGCUGCUGGCCUUGACAGGUCGGCUCCUCUUAAAUGCAUUAGCAGGACUUCUCAUUGCCUCUGCGCAUGAUGUGAUAAUUAUCACUCAUCAAUAGCACGCAUGAAUAGAGUCCAGCUCUCUAAUCGUCCGCAAGGACAAUUUGACAAUUUGACCUCAAAUCAGGUAGGACUACCCGCUGAACUUAA
rnacentral:rRNA from 1 species